GAUGAAGAACGUAGCGAAAUGCGAUAAGUAAUGUGAAUUGCAGAAUUCAGUGAAUCAUCGAAUCUUUGAACGCACAUUGCGCCCGCCAGUAUUCUGGCGGGCAUGCCUGUUCGAGCGUCAUUACAACCCUCAGGCCCCCGGGCCUGGCGUUGGGGAUCGGCGGAAGCCCCCUGCGGGCACAACGCCGUCCCCCAAAUACAGUGGCGGUCCCGCCGCAGCUUCCAUUGCGUAGUAGCUAACACCUCGCAGCUGGAGAGCGGCGCGGCCACGCCGUAAAACACCCAACUUCUGAAUGUUGACCUCGGAUCAGGUAGGAAUACCCGCUGAACUUAAGCAUAUCAAUAAGCGGAGGA
rnacentral:misc_RNA from 1 species